CUCAUGCCAAGAAUUGCAUUUGGAUUUUUGAAUCUACAUUGAUAGCACAGAUUUGGCUGUUACUCUCCAAUAAUAAUGUCACUUCGGCCCCCGUGUCUGGGGAAAGAGAGCAAGUAUGAUGGUGGCCCCCGCCAGGGCCCCAGCCCAGCCCCGGCCAGGCAUCCUCUGUGAUUCUCCUGGGAGCAAAAUCCUGAUGAGGCUUUUGACAUGGUUCUUCUUUUCAACUAAAUAAGAGAGAGGCCUAUACGAAUGGCAGCCCUAGCUGACUGGAGACAUCUCACUAGGUGAAGGCAGUAGAUUAUAUGACCAUGGUGUCCCAGCGACCAGCAUUCAAACCUGCCUUGACUUCUGGGUGUGCGAUGUUGGGCAACUUCCUAAGCUCUU
rnacentral:lncRNA from 10 species